UACGUAGGGGGCAAGCGUUGUCCGGAAUUAUUGGGCGUAAAGCGCGCGCAGGCGGUCGUUUAAGUCUGGUGUUUAAGCCCGGGGCUCAACCCCGGUUCGCAUCGGAAACUGGAUGACUUGAGUGUAGGAGAGGAAAGUGGAAUUCCACGUGUAGCGGUGAAAUGCGUAGAGAUGUGGAGGAACACCAGUGGCGAAGGCGACUUUCUGGCCUAUAACUGACGCUGAGGCGCGAAAGCGUGGCGAGCAAACAG
rnacentral:rRNA from 1 species